AUUUGGUAAUUUUGGGGAGAGGGAACACAAAGCAAAAACCCUAAGAGCCUAAUUUUUUUCUCCCCCCGUCAAAACCAAGCCGCCGGCCACAGCCCCCCCUACCUUCUGAUUUUUCUUCUUCAUCAGCCGCCGGACACAGUAACUCUUCUCCCAAACACAGCAGCCACCAUCUACCCAGCAGUCCCCUUUGAAUUUUUUUUCUUCUCCUGAAGCCAAAACGACGCCGUCCCUCCUUUUCUUCUCAUUUUUCCUUCCCAGCCGCUGCAACCAGAAAAGCCCCUCUCCUUCAUCUGCCUCACUCUCCUCUCAGCCGGUUCUCAGCCACCGUGAACGGACCGCCCACUCCCCUGCCUUCAACCGGCCCGAACGCAGCGACCAGCACCAGAUCCUCCCUCUCAGCUGCUCCGCUUUGCUCUUCGCAGCCCCUCAACCGGCCAGUAGCAACCCAGAGAACCAGCCACCGCCGAUCUCCCUUCCUCAUCCCACAGCAGCCGAUCACUACACCAACACCCACCGAUCGGUCCACUUCUCAGCCUCAGCAUCAUGACCAGCUAGCCUACAGACGACAACAACAAGACCCACGGACAUCGGCAGCAGGCGAUCUUCCAUCUUCAACCGGCGACAGACCCACGGUCUCCCUCUUCAGCCGCCAGCCGCCCCUUGCACAAACUGUCAGCCAUCUGAACAGAGAAGGUGAAAGAAAAGGGAAAGACCAGACCCUAAAAGAAGUCGAUCGGAAGACGUAGCAGAUCUAAGAAGGAGAUGAAAGAGCAGAUCGGAGAGGGAGAAAACAAAAAAAAAAACCAUUGCUUGUUGCGUUUUUUUUGGCUUUGCAGGUGGAGUUACUCCCCACCGCCGGUGCUGAAGGGGAAAGGAGGAGAAAACAGGGCAGAUCCGCCCGUUCUGGCAUGGUCGGCGGCGCGUGAACCCACGCGCCGCCAGUGGCGGUGGCGCGUGGGAAGACGCGCCACCAUGGGUUCAAGCAAUUCCUGGACUUUUAGGGCCUAUUUGUUUUUUUAAAUUAAUUAACGUAAUUUUUAUUUAUUUGUUUUGAUUUUGAAUUUGUAUUUAUAUUUGUAAUUUUGUAUUUGUUUUUGUAUUGUGGAUGUAAAAGAAAAGAAAAAGAAAAAGAAAGUGAUAAUAAAAAAAAAAGAAAAAGAAAAAGAAAUGUUUGUGUGUGUUUGUAAUUUUUUUUAUGAAUGUUAUUGAAUAAUAAAAAAAAUUGAAUUUAAUUUAUAUGCACAAAUAUCUAAAGGACAGAUAAAAAUCAUGUUGUAUUUUCCAUAAAAAUGUAGAACAUGUAUCUACAUAUAUUUUGGGGAACUAAUAACUGAUUUAUCAAAGCCUUAGAAUUGAGCUAAAAUUUUAUUUUUUAAAAUCACAGCAAGUCCACGAAGCGUGACCGUGAAUGUGGUGUGUAUUUUGUGUAUGAAUGAUUUUUUUUUUAUGAUAAAAUUGCAAGAACAAAGAAGAAUUUAAUAUUCUGAUUUGCUCACGAAUAAAGAAUUAUGAACUUACAUGUAAGUUGUAUUUUCUAAAAUUCGAUGAAUAAAUUAAAUUUUAAAACUUCUUUGACACAUCAAGUCCGCAAAGCAGCUUACCUCAGGUAGGGUGCGUUAGGGGUGUUAAUACCUUCCCUAACCACAACCAGUCCCUUACCCGCGAUCUCUAACAAGACCAGUACAUCCGGUUUCCUAGUAGCCCGCAAUCAAUUACUAGGUGGCGACUCUAACGAACCAAAAUCAAGCAAAUGCAACAACGAGAGAUGAAUCGUCAGCCGAUGCCGCGCGCUGAUUUGUUUUUGGGGUGCGACAAAAUGGCGACUCCACUGGGGAAGGUAUUGUUUUCAACAUUAUUGGACUAAGCUUUGUAUAUUUGAUGUGUAUGUUUUUGCAUUUUUGUGUUUUUUUUUAUUUUUGUUUUAUCCAUGCAUUUUGUAGAAUUAUCUCAUGCAUCACAUAGUUAAUUUUUUAAAAGCACACACAAGCUUCAGGUUAGGAGGGGGACUAGCAGCUUACCUUACGACUUUUAGUCAAGGUUUAAGUUUGUGUAAACCCCAACUCUUCGUUGAGUGCUUAGACUGGUAAUAGUUGGACACGUGCCAUCUCAUUGCCUACAAGCCCCCAUAUUGCCUCCACGAGGGCAAAUCACUGGGACAACAAGAGACCUUUUUUAGAGACCAAAUAGUAAACCUUCCUUUUGUCUCACUUACAAAAAUUAGAACCUGUCUUUAGGGUGUAUGCUCCGUAGACAUUGUUUUGCAUCCGAGCAAGCUCUUCUUGAAGCAUCUUGAACUCUAGACUUAUGGGUGACACAAUGACCGUCGCUCAGAAAAUUUUCAUUGUAGAGUUUGUGCAAGAAUCAAGGUUCUUGUUUCAUCAUACAAGAGUUGCGAUCAUAUGUCACCCCUCGAAGGGCGAGUUCGUCAUAUAGAUUACAUAUUCAUACAUUUAUCAUGCAUGUACCGGUUUGAAAGGUAGGUUCCCCCGCACAAGCUGUGCUGCAAGUGAUUGAAAAGAUGAGGGAAGUGAACAAAGGAGUCAGAUAGAGGCUCAUUAUCAGAUUAAGGUUGAGAGCAUCAAAGGUGAAACAACCAGACUCAGAUAUGCUCGAACAAGUGUUGAGCAUCAAAUGGAAAGAGAAUGUCUGCACAGUCUUCUGUGGGAACACUGCUUGUUCACGUCCAAUUGAAGUUGUAUCUCUCCUUUUCAGUCAUGAACAAUAACAACAAUGCUUUCAGUCAUCAACUAAUGACAACUUUGGUUCUUGUCCAUGUUGCACUGUUAAGUGUUCAUCACCUCCACAUCAUCUAAUGGAACCAAAUGACUACUAGCCUAUUGUUCAUGGUGCAUUAGUCUUCUUUGAAGUUACCCCAAUUAUGAGCCCAAUUCCAGUUCGGCAGCACAAGAUGUUGGUCUGAAAAACCAUGAUUAAACACUGAACUUCUACGUGGUAAAGCUCUCCCUGUAGAGAUUUAUUUGUGGAUCUGCUAAUGGGAAAUGCAAAAGGGAAUGUAUUAAUUUCAUAUGCUUUGAAGCUUUUUCCCACCAGUGGCAUGAGCAAAACAUUGUACUAGGCAGAGGAGUCAGGCCUGGUCUGAAAAUAGUAGUCGUCGAACUUCAACAUGGCAGAGCUCUCUCUACAAAAAUCUGUUUAUGAUGCUGCAACUUGAUAGUGCAAGAGGAGAUUUACUAAUUGCAUAUGCUACAAAUAUUUCUCUCAUCAGUUUCAGCACGAAGAAACUGUCGCAUGUUGAAGAGCCAGAUUUGGUUUGAAAAACAUUGAGCAGACAUCAAACUUCAACGUUGCAGAGAUCUCUCGACAGGAAUCUAUUUGUGGAUCUGUAAAUGGGAAAUCCAAGAGGGGAUGUAGUGGUUUCAGAUUGUCCACAAUUUUCUCCUACCAGUAUUGGCAUUAAAACGCAAAAAGUGGCUGUUGGUUGCACCGUUAGUGAGGAAUCAAAGAGGAAAUAGAGGAGUUGUGGAUUCAUCAGUUUCUCUUCCAAUUUUGACAAUAUAUGAUUCCAUACAUUUUUGUUUUUUGCGCACUGCAUGGAUUACCUAGAUAUUGAAGGGUUUCCAACAAUCCUAAAACCACAACAACAUUGGAAGAUUGAAAUGAUGUUGUGAGGAUUUGGCGAAGGAUUGAACAAGCUAUGAAGAGAGGAAAGAUUGAAGGAUCUGCCAUGGAUUCCAGAACAAUGAUGAGAGGUGAAUCAAGAGAUGACUCUGACGGCGGAAAACCUUAAUUAUGUGGUCUAGCCAGGUCUCACGGUAGCAUCAAUUGCUCAAAUGUCUUUACCAAGAUUGACAUUCCUCUGCCACUUAAGUUUGUCGACCAGAAUCUGCAUGAUUCUAGAUUUUUGCUAGACGCCGACAAAUCCCAUGCAGCCACCAUUUUCUAGGUGGUAUAAUCCAGACAGGAAAUGUGAUGUCAUGGUGGGGUCCUCGGCCAUUUCAAUGGAAUAGUUGCAAGAAUUUCAAUUGAAUAGUUAUCAUGUGAGUUUAUUUCCCAGCAUCUGCUAAAUUCCAGACUUUUACUUGACUCCAACAAAUCCCAUGCAACCACCAUUUUCUGGGUGGUUUAAUCCAGACAAGAGAUGUGAUGUCAUGAUGGGGUCCUCAACCAUUUCAAUUGAGCAAUUUCAAGAAUUUCAAGAAGCGAGUCCUGAAGUUGGAGAGCAAGAGACAAGUAAGAGUUUGUGAAGGAGGGUGUCAUUGGCUAUAUUGUUCCCCGAACAUCAUCAAAAUGACAGGUGAUCGAAAGUGCUUGGCAAAACACAGAUAUUGCCAGAAAAACUGAUUCAAGAAUUGUGAUGAACUGCCAAUCAUAUUGUUAUGGAAUUUUGCAUUUUUGUUUUGAUAUCACAUCUCAUCCUUCAACGAAACAUGCCUUGCUUUUGUCUCUUUGUUGUUUUGAAAUCAACAGAUGUUUAACAUUUUUUUUUCUAACAAAAUAUUUUGAUCAAAUUCCAACAUGCGAUAAAGGUUAAUCAAUCUGGAAGAUUAAAAGUGUUUUGAUUACAGAAAUGACUCGAUUCUUGUUGAAAUGACAUGAGGUGACCGAACAAAAUUUUGAGCACAUAUAAAAUUGAACCACCCACCAUGUAGCAUAAGUUUUAACAGUAUGCAUAAUGACAUGUAGUGGAUUCGGUAGUUAUGGACUCGUGAAUCAUGAUUCUUACAAGUCCAAAUCAUUACACUGGAUGAGGUCAAAAUUUAUCGGUUUUAACUGACCUUGCUUGAAAUGAGAAAAGGCCAUCUUUGAUAUCCCUUCACUUUCUAAAGAUUAUAUCCCUUGUAGUCCCAUUUUGAGCCUAGUGAAAUAUUUUCUUUCAAAAAAGAAACCCUGACUAGGAUCACACCCCAUACUGGGGGCAAAUGAGAGAUAUUUUGAAGACAUUGAUAUGAUUAAUGGAUAAAGAGGAAGGCUUAGAACAAAAGUCCAAUGAUUGAGAGAGAGCUAGAAGAAGACACAUAGACUGGGGGCAUAUAAGAAAAUUUUGAGGAAGGCAUAUAAAAAAAAAAAGAAUAAAAAAAAGAAGAAGUUGAAAUUGCCUUCACUUAAAUACAAGUCAAAGAUAAAGGAUGGAGAACGCCUAUCAUGUCUAUGAAAAGCAAAAGAAAUUUCAAUCAAGGAGGGACACAACAAAAGUCAAUACUAGAAAAAAAAAAAAAAACUAAGCUAUAAACGUGACUUUUGGUUUCUAUUAUAAAGCCUAUGAUGUUAUCAGAUGAUUGAGAUUGGUUAUUCAUCAAGAAAAGGGGGAUUUGCAUUAUGACUUAUGAUUAAGAAAAGUCUGAACUUUGAGGUUAACAAGGUUAUAUGUCGUUUCCUCUACAAAGACAAUAAUAGAAAACAAGUUGAUGAAUAGUUGAUGUUGAUCCUAGGUCUUUGAAACCCUCAAACACCUUUUGAGCCUUUGAAAUUCUUUUCUUUCAUAGCCAUGAACCAUAGCCUGCAUUACGUGCUUUUUAAAAGCCCUUUUCAAUCAAGCAAGCAAUUUGAAUCGAUAAAUGGCGCUCUCAAAACUUGAAGAGUUUUUUCCAUAAGGGUCGUGACUUCAUGAAUUAAGCUACUGGUUAUUAUGCAUGCUGAUAAAAUAAAUGCUAAGAAACAACCUUUCUUGAUAAAGCCUGAGCAACUUGUUUUUGAAAUUCAUAAAAAUGUCACCUCAUCACAGACCAUCAAAAAAUAUACCCAAAAUCAGAGUUUAAAGUGGAUAGAAAGAACCAUGGAAAAAACCAUUUUAAUCUUACAACGGGUCGAUUUCUGUUUUCAAAAUACGAGACAAUCAAAGGACUGUGUAUUUCGAAUAACGUGUGUUGGGUCUUUGAUCAAAAAAAAAGAAGCUUGAUUUUCAAAUGAUUUUCAAAAAGGACAUCUCUGAUUUCAUUUCAACAAACUAGACUUUGAAUAGACAUGAUCUUUGAAAUAUGAGAGUUGAUUCCAGAACAAGGAAGAUUAUCAAACACAGAAGAACAUCGAUUGAGUAUGCAAAAUCAUUGAUAGAAAUGACAUUGAAGUCCUCGACACUCCUUGAAAAGUUGAGCAGCUGGGGGCAAUACAGUCGACCUUGAAAAGGAAAAACAAGCAGUGCUUAGAUCAGCUAUGAGGCAAUGAUUAAAUGAUGAAUCAGUGAACUGAAGACAAUGAUGUUCAAAGACAGAUAAUCAAUGAACGAGCACAUUCAGAUCAUACUGGGGGCAAUGUCAUUCCAAAAUGGCCCAUGCUCUAGUGAACCCUGUCGGCAAUGGAGAAACAAGGAUGUACUUGAAGGACACUUUCAUAUCAUCAUCUUUUGAAACAUGGCUAGCAAUCGAUGAAGAUACACAGAUGAAUGUAAUUGAAUGGUGAAAAGAUGCACAUCACCAAGACUGGCUGUGGAACAAUGCCGCACUUGAAGGACAAUCUCAUAUUGUCAUCCUUUGCAACAUGGUUGUUGACAGAUGUUAUCACACAACUGCAUUGAAUGAAUGUCAAGAAGGUACCCACCUCGAAGACUGACUGUGGGAUAAUUUGUUUUGAAGCCAGAUGAGCGCUUCACCGCAUGAGUAUGGGUGAUAGAAGUAGCAUCAUUGACGAGGCCGAGACAUUUCUUUUCACAAUCUGAUUAGAAGAGUUGAAAGGAAUCUAUUGAGAAGAACACUGAGCAUAUAACCAUGAGCCUUUGUACUGCAAGCUAUGAGAUGCAUGUCUGGACGACUGGAUGAUUUCCAAGAAGGCUGAUGUUAACAUGUACUUGAAGAGUACUGUUUCAACUGGAGGCAAGAUCAUGACUGAUUGACAAUUUUAAUGGGCGUUGGCACGCACAACCAAUCAAAGGACAAUUCUUGAGAGAAUAUGGGAGAUGAAUGAUUUGUUCCAUUCCUUCAGGAUGAAUCGAGCAACACCACACUUGCAAGCAGGGUCAAACUUGAUGAACGAUGCGAGCAGUAAUUAUCGAAGACAGCUCGGGAUGGGCACUGCAUUUACAGCUGAGUGGAUGGCUAGUACAUGAAUGAGCCAAUACAUCGAAAGAACAAGAAAAGCUUUGGAAUGCAAACAAAGGCACCCUAUGACGAUGGAGCAUCAAAGAGGGGGGGACCUAUAUUUCAAAUCAGGUAAGGAUGCAUACAUGUCAUCUAACCUCAAAAAAAAAAAAAAAACAAAAAUUUGCACAUAUUUUUGAAUUGUUACAGGAAAAUCCUUAAUGAGGUCCAGCAAGAUGGUGGAAAAAGAAAGAAGCAUUGUGGUGAUGAUAAUAAAGAAUCAGUUUUGAUCAUGGAAUAAAAGGGAAGAUGGGAUGAACCCUACCAUUAGGGAAAUCCCAAAGAAAUGAAAAGAUCAACUUUGCAAUCGGGAAGCCUCGAAUUUUCAACCAUUGCAGUCAGGAAACACUGAGUUUUCAAAACCUAUGAUCUGAAAUUAGCAGGAAGCACCAAGUUUUCCAGCCCUUCUCCUAUCAUCCCCUCAGGACUUCGCCAGGUAAGUCCUAUUUUUCACACUUGUCAUAUCACAUCUUCCAUCUGGGUAGGUCACCCAUUACAAUGAGACCACACUUCAUAUUGUUUCCAUCCGGGUAGGUCACCCAUGACAAUGAGACCGCACUUUUUCACAUUUUUUCCAUCCGGGUUGGUCACCCAUGACAAUGAGACCGCACUUCAUCAUAUUUUUUCCAUCUGGGUAGGUCACCCAUUAUAAUGAGACCACACUUCAUACUUUUUCCAUUUUUGGGUAGGUCACCCAUUACAAUGAGACCGCACUUCACAUUCUUUCUAUUUGGGUAGGUCGCCCAUCACAACGAGACCACUUCAUCAUAUUUUUUCCAUCUGGGUAGGUCACCCAUUACAAUGAGACCACACUUCAUAUUUUUCCCCCCUGGGUAGGUCACCCAUAAGAAUGAGACCACUCUUCCUCCUUUCCACUUGGGUAGGUCACCCAUUAUAAUGAGACCACUUUUUACACAUUUUUUUGUUCCAGUUGAAUGAGGUCGCCAAAUGGGAUCUCAUGUAGCUUUGGUUAAAGGGACUCUCCAUAUAGGAUUUCAGGUUGACCGAGCCACACACACAGGAUUUUUGGUUCUAGUUAGAGGGGAUUGCCGAAAGGAAUCUCAGUCUAUCCCAACCACACACAGGAUUUUGGUUCUGGUUAGAGGGGAUUGCCGAAAGGAAUCUCAGUCUAUCCCAACCACACACAGAUUUCGGUUUUGGUUAGAGGGGAUUGCCGAAAGGAAUCUCAGUCUAGCCCAACCCUACACAUUCCUUGGUUAUGGUUAAAGGGGAUCAGCGAAGGGAUCUCAGUAUAACCUAAUUGGAAAGGAUUUUGGUUCUGGUUAGAGAGGAUUGCCGAAAGGAAUCUCAGUCUGGCCCAACCCUACACAAUUCCUUGGUUAUGGUUAAAGGGGAUCGGCAAAGGGAUCUCAGUUUAACCUAAUUGGAAAAGAUUUUGGUUCUGGUUAGAGGGGAUUGCCGAAAGGAAUCUCAGUCUAGCCCAACCCUACACAUUCCUUGGUUAUGGUUAAAGGGGAUCAACGAAGGGAUCUCAGUUUGACCUAAUUGGAAAGGAUUUUGGUUCUGGUUAGAGGGGAUUGCCGAAAGGAAUCUCAGUCUAGCCCAACCCUACACAUUCCUUGGUUAUGGUUAAAGGGGAUCGACGAAGGGAUCUCAAUUUAACCUAAUUGGAAAGGAUUUUGGUUCUGGUUAGAUUGGAUUGCCGAAAAGAAUCUCAGUCUAGCCCAACCCUACACAUUCCUUGGUUAUGGUUAAAGGGGAUCGACGAAGGGAUCUCAGUUUAACCUAAUUGGAAAGGAUUUUGGUUCUGGUUAGAGGGGAUUACCGAAAGGAAUCUCAGUCUAGCCCAACCCUACACAUUCCUUGGUUAUGGUUAAAGGGGAUCGACGAAGGGAUCUCAGUUUAACCUAAUUAGAAAGGAUUUUGGUUCUGGUUGAAGGGGAUCGACGAAGGGAUCUCAGUUCAGUCUAACUACACAGACCUUGGUUAUGGUUAAAGGGGAUCGGCAAAGGGAUCUCAGUUUAACCUAAUUGGAAAGAUUUUUUGGUUCUGGUUGAAGGAGAUCGGCGAAGGGAUCUCAGUUCAGUCUAACCACACAGACCUUGGUUAUUGUUAAAGGGGAUCGACGAAGGGAUCUCAGUUUAGCCUAAUCACGCAGAAUCACUAGAUGAGAUUUCAGGUUGAUCGAGCUACACACCGAUUUUUUGUUCUUGUUAGAUCGCCAGAUGGGAUCUCAGGUAAACCCAGUCAAAAGGGAAGGUCGCCCGUGAAAAUAGACCAGUGUGAGUGUGUGGGCAGGUCGCCCCUGAAAACAGACCAGUGUGAGAGUGUGGGUCGGUCGCCCUUGAAAAUAGACCAGUGUGAGUGUGUGGGCAGGUCGCCCCUGAAAACAGACCAGUGUGAGAGUGUGGGUCGGUCGCCCUUGAAAAUAGACCAGAGUGAGUAUGUGUGGGCAGGUCGCCCGUGAAAAUAGACCAGUGUGAGUGUGUGGGCAGGUCGCCCCUGAAAAUAGACCACUUUGAGUAUGUGUGGGUAGGUCGCCCGUGAAAGUAGACCAGUGUGAUUGUGUGGGCCGGUCGCCCCUGAAAAUAGACCACUUUUCUUCAAAAGGGGCAUGUCGCCCAAGAUAAUAAGAUCAUUUUCUUUUUGUUUUCUUUACAAAGCUUACUAUGCAAAAUUUUGAGGAGUUUUGCUUCGUAAGCAUUGUAAAGAGGGGGCAACUGUUGUUACUCAAAUUUUGACCCACCUUUUUGAUAAAAUUUUCGGAAAAUCCAAAAAUAGCGAAAAACAACAAAAUCCAAAAAAAUUAUGUUUUUAAUAUAUUUGCAUCGUUUUUAGCAUUUUCAACGUCGUUUAAAAAAGAAUUUAAAUUUUCAAAGGUUUUUGGAGCGCGUUCGACUUUUCACGCGUCAUUUUUAAAAUCAUUAAUUUUUCUCAUAGAAUUGACGUUGAUUUUGCUCGUUUUUGAAAAUACAAGAAAAAUCAAAAUAAAAAAUAAAUAAAUUAAGGGACCAAUUUGGAGGCUUGAACAAAAUUUCACCUAUAAAUAUGGGUUGAAAACUCAAAAAAAAAAGGGGGGGGCAUUUGGUAAUUUUGGGGAGAGGGAACACAAAGCAAAAACCCUAAGAGCCUAAUUUUUUUCUCCCCCCGUCAAAACCAAGCCGUCGGCCACAGCCCCACCUACCUUCUGAUUUUUCUUCUUCAUCAGCCGCCGGACACAGUAACUCUUCUCCCAAACACAGCAGCCACCAUCUACCCAGCAGUCCCCUUUGAAUUUUUUUUCUUCUCCUGAAGCCAAAACGACGCCGUCCCUCCUUUUCUUCUCAUUUUUCCUUCCCAGCCGCUGCAACCAGAAAAGCCCCUCUCCUUCAUCUGCCUCACUCUCCUCUCAGCCGGUUCUCAGCCACCGUGAACGGACCGCCCACUCCCCUGCCUUCAACCGGCCCGAACGCAGCGACCAGCACCAGAUCCUCCCUCUCAGCUGCUCCGCUUUGCUCUUCGCAGCCCCUCAACCGGCCAGUAGCAACCCAGAGAACCAGCCACCGCCGAUCUCCCUUCCUCAUCCCCACAGCAGCCGAUCACUACACCAACACCCACCGAUCGGUCCACUUCUCAGCCUCAGCAUCAUGACCAGCUAGCCUACAGACGACAACAACAAGACCCACGGACAUCGGCAGCAGGCGAUCUUCCAUCUUCAACCGGCGACAGACCCACGGUCUCCCUCUUCAGCCGCCAGCCGCCCCUUGCACAAACUGUCAGCCAUCUGAACAGAGAAGGUGAAAGAAAAGGGAAAGACCAGACCCUAAAAGAAGUUGAUCGGAAGACGUAGCAGAUCUGAGAAGGAGAUGAAAGAGCAGAUCGGAGAGGGAGAAAACAAAAAAAAAAACCAUUGCUUGUUGCGUUUUUUUUGGCUUUGCAGGUGGAGUUACUCCCCACCGCCGGUGCUGAAGGGGAAAGGAGGAGAAAACAGGGCAGAUCCGCCCGUUCUGGCAUGGUCGGCGGCGCGUGAACCCACGCGCCGCCAGUGGCGGUGGCGCGUGGGAAGACGCGCCACCAUGGGUUCAAGCAAUUCCUGGACUUUUAGGGCCUAUUUGUUUUUUUAAAUUAAUUAAUGUAAUUUUUAUUUGUUUGUUUUGAUUUUGAAUUUGUAUUUAUAUUUGUAAUUUUGUAUUUGUAUUUGUAUUGUGGAUG
rnacentral:lncRNA from 1 species